GUGCUCACUUGGGCAGCACAUAUACUAAAAUUGGAAUGAUACAGAGAAGAUUAGUAACAUGGCCCCUGGGCAAGAAUGACAUGCAAAUUCAUGAAGCAUUCCAUAUUUAA
ensembl:snRNA U6 U6 spliceosomal RNA